rnacentral:misc_RNA from 1 species
AAGUUUCGAUUUUCGUGUUAGCCAACUAAUCGUGAUCUACAGUUUCAUCAUAGGAAUCAAGUUUAGAGUAUUUUGUACUGUAAUUUGAUGAAUCUCCAUUUUGUGUGUACCGGUAGAGCAUUUCAUACCUUUCUAAAUUUUCCACACUUUUCCAUUAUGAAACUCAUACAAAAUUUGUAUUUGUAUAUUAACACUUGCCUGUGUGUCUUUUUGUAUAAGAUUGGUGCAAUAUGUGAAAACAACUUUUAUAUCGCUAAAGUUAGCAAUUUUAGUUGCAAAAUAAUUGCACAUGGCAUCCUCACAUUGUAAUUUUCCAUAUGUUUGCAUUGAAUUACAUUAAACUUAAUUACAUAAAAAUACGUUGAAAUAUAUCUAUUCUAAGGAAAAUUAAAUUUCACUCUAGUUUAUGACAUAGCAAAAGGGAAACAACUCUUAUCAAUAUUAAUAAAGCUACUUGGUGCAAUGCAAGUGUCAGUUUCGGAUUAAUGCUUGUAAGAGUGUAAUUAAUGUAGUUAAAUGUAAUGUAAUUAGUUCAUGUUUCACUGUGACUUCAACAUUUUCAAAUUCAUCUGGUCAGUGUGAAUGACAGAAAAAGGUGCUGCCAUCUUAAUAUUUUCUUUCUUCAUUUUGCAUAAAAUAUGUGUAUGUUUAAGAAUGUGCAAAAAUACCGUCAGUUGUUUCAUUUAUUUGAGCAGAAAUAAAUUGACUGUUGUG